CUUCAAGAUUGUGUUACAUGUGGCCACAUCACAUAAAGCCAGUGAUGUUAGCGUCGAGAGUAGAUUACUUUCACCGAUAUCAGUAGUGACAUGAUUCGUUAUCCACAACCAUAGACAUCUCACACGAAUGUUCGUUAGUGGCACAGAUCACUUAUAAAGUUGCACUGAUACUACUAUAUCGUGAAAAGUUGUCUGUGGUUUGUCGUUCAUGGUUUAUGUCGUAUCCAACAAACUGUUAUCACUCAUAACAUAACGAUUAUCAUUGAUGACAGCACGAGCAAAAGCAGUGGGAUUGGAAAAUUGAGCUACUACCGUUGGAAGAAUUGGAUCACUUAUUAAUGUUGGAUCUACUCUAAGACGGAUCUCCGUAGUCCAGGGGCCAACAGCUCUAAUGUGAACUGUUAAGUAUGACUCGUUUGGUGCGGAAGAUAAAGUGAAAGGAUGGUACUCGUUGGGAUUAAAAUCUGAACAUGCAAUUCUGACCCACUGUCCAGAUUUAUAUUGGAAAUUUGGUGGCUUCCUGAAUUUGAG